rnacentral:rRNA from 1 species
UACGUAGGGUGCGAGCGUUGUCCGGAAUCAUUGGGCGUAAAGGGCGCGUAGGUGGCCCGGUCAGUUCGUGGUGAAAGCGCGGGGCUCAACUCCGCGUCGGCCAUGAAUACUGCUGGGCUUGAGCACUGUAGAGGCAGGCGGAAUUCCGGGUGUAGCGGUGGAAUGCGUAGAGAUCCGGAGGAACACCAGUGGUGCAGACGGCGCCCUGGGUCCGAACUGACGCUGAAGCACGAAAGCGUGGGGAGCGAACGGG